GACAGAGGGUGCAAACGUUGCUCGGAAUCACUGGGCGUAAAGGGCGUGUAGGCGGGCAGGUAAGUCGGGCGUGAAAUCCCUGAGCUCAACUCAGGAACUGCACUCGAAACUACUUGUCUUGAGUAUCGGAGAGGAAAGCGGAAUACCUGGUGUAGAGGUGAAAUUCGUAGAUAUCAGGUGGAACACCAGUGGCGAAGGCGGCUUUCUGGACGGUAACUGACGCUGAGACGCGAAAGCGUGGGGAGCAAACAGG
rnacentral:rRNA from 1 species